rnacentral:rRNA from 1 species
CUACGGAGGAUGCGAGCGUUAUCCGGAUUUAUUGGGUUUAAAGGGAGCGUAGGCGGGAGCUUAAGUCAGCGGUUAAAUGGUGCGGCUCAACCGUGCCCUGCCGUUGAAACUGGGUUUCUUGAGAGUGCAAGAGGCGGAUGGAAUUCAUGGUGUAGCGGUGAAAUGCUUAGAUAUCAUGAAGAACUCCGAUUGCGAAGGCAGUCCGCUGGGGCACGUCUGACGCUGAUGCUCGAAGGUGCGGGAAUCAAACAGGAUUAGAUACCCUGGUAGUCCGCACGGUAAACGAUGAUUACCCGCUGUCGGCGGUAGACAGUCGGCGGCCAAGCGAAAGCGAUAAGUAAUCCACCUGGGGAGUACGCCGGCAACGGUGAAACUCAAAGGAAUUGGCGGGG